CAGUAGCCACGGUAAUACGAAGGGUGCAAGCGUUAAUCGGAAUUACUGGGCGUAAAGCGUGCGCAGGCGGUUGUGUGAGACAGGUGUGAAAUCCCCGGGCUUAACCUGGGAACUGCGCUUGUGACUGCACAGCUGGGGUAUGGCAGAGGGGGGUGGAAUUCCACGUGUAGCAGUGAAAUGCGUAGAGAUCGGGAGGAACAUCAGUGGCGAAGGCGGCCAUCUGGGACAACACUGACGCUGAGGCACGAAAGCGUGGGGAGCGAACAGGAUUAGAUACCCGAGUAGUCCCUGUCUCUUAUAC
rnacentral:rRNA from 1 species